rnacentral:rRNA from 1 species
GCAGGCUCGCGCUUGAAUACAUUAGCAUGGAAUAAUGAAAUAGGACGUUCGAUCCUAUUUUGUUGGUUUCUAGGAUAGACGUAAUGAUUAAUAGGGAUAGUUGGGGGCAUUAGUAUUCAAUUGUCAGAGGUGAAAUUCUUGGAUUUAUUGAAGACUAACUACUGCGAAAGCAUUUGCCAAGGAUGUUUUCAUUAAUCAAGAACGAAAGUUAGGGGAUCGAAGACGAUCAGAUACCGUCGUAGUCUUAACCAUAAACUAUGCCGACUAGGGAUCGGAUGAUGUUAUUUUUAAUGACUCAUUCGGCGCCUUACGGGAAACCAAAGUGUUUGGGUUCCGGGGGGAGUAUGGUCGCAAGGCUGAAACUUAAAGGAAUUGACGGAAGGGCACCACCAGGGGUGGAGCCUGCG